ACAUUUUCGAAGAUCGGCAAGCAACUGGCUGUUGUUUGACAAACGCAUGCGUACAUAGUCUGUUUGACAAAUCCAAUGACGAGGUCAAAUCGGGCGUCAAUUUCUCUCGAAUACAAAUCUGUCGAACGACACAGUAUGCUUACAAAUAGUUUGACACACACGUGAAAUUUGACAAAUUGUCUGAUGGUUUACAUGGACGUAAAAUACAGGCGACUUUGUUCUGUAUUAUAACCCAAGCCACCGACCAAGGCAAAGAUAUAAGGCAACGUAAAUCAGCUUAUUAUUUAGUAAUUCUAUGGCUUAGAAACAGAUUAUUAAAUAUCCUACCCACAGUGCCUGGGAAGUGGGAACUGUGUAUGACGUGAAGUUUGUGUAUCUUGUUUGUAUGUGUGCAACAAUGUUUCGAUUUAAAUUCAGAAGUGACGGUGGAAUUAUUUUGAGACUGUUAAACAGCAGAAAGUUGUCAGUGUUUUCAAGAAAGGAUGGAUGUGGAUCAUGGCAGUGUACGUGUUGUGUUACAAAUUUCCAGUCAAACAAAACUCACUUUAUGUGUAUACAUCCUUCCAUGAAAUUAAUUGACCGGCACAUGUCAGUGCAACCGUUAGGGAAAGUGGAAGCAAAGAUUUUUCUAUCGUUUACUUGCAAGAAAUGCAAUACCAGAAACGCGAAAACAAUAUCGAAAGUUGCAUAUGAGAAAGGAGUCGUGAUAGUACGCUGUGAGGGCUGUAACAGUAAUCAUUUGAUUGCAGACAAUCUAGGUUGGUUUCCCGAUUUAGAAGGUAAAAAAAAUGUAGAGGAAAUACUUGCAGCCAAGGGUGAAAAGGUUAUGAAAAUUGACAGCGACUCAUUUGAAGUUGUGGUGAAAGAAGUAGAAAAAGAGUGCAGCCAGCUUAUGGAAAAGGAAAGAACCGAUAUGUAGUUGUGAACAUCAGAAUUAUUUGAAAUACUUGCACCAGUGACCAACAUUUCAGAGUUUGAUGCCACAGUAAUACAUCUCUCGUUGCCGAUGCUCCAUUAUGGAUGGAUAAGUGCAAUGUGGACUGUUUUUGAUGAAGGCAUCUGUGUGCGGAGUUUGUAUCAGAUUCAGUUUACACUGGUAUGAAAUGAAUUCUCAAAGAAUGAGUCAUAAAGCUACUGAUAAUAUGUUGGGGUCAAUUUUAUUGUGUGCUAGCUAUGUUGUUACAGUGACUUAUAAAAAUUAAAAUGCAUUAAAAUUGUUAUAGUUGAUGUGAAAUACUAUAUUUUAAGCUGUGCAUAUUAUUGAUUGGCUUCAUUUUGAUAACUUAUAAUAGCAACCGAGGAAUGGCAAAGUAUGAUUGAAAUAACGGUUUUCUGUAACUGCGUAUCUAGAUUGAUCCUUUCUUGAACUGCAAGACAGCCUUUGUCAUGGGUGCAUCAUAUUUCAUUGUCUUCAGCUGACGUCUCUGUAUUGUAUUAUCUGUUGUAUAAAAACAUGAUCUAUUUCAUUGUUGAAAAGUACUUUAGAUGUUUUAUUAUUUGUACUUUCAUAUAACCAUUAUUAUUGUUGUUUUAUAUUUUAUGGGCGUUCUUGUCAAGCGUAAACUAAAUGUAGUUCUUAUAGGUCAUUGCUAUUUGAGAGGAUUUCAAAUUUCUGGUCUACUGUGCAAUCUGAUACUAUAUAGAGGGACCAAAUGACAGUCAGACUAUGAACAAAUUUUUCAGGUGGUCUGCUUAUGUGUGAAAUUCAUCAUUUGGACUAAAGCACAAAAUAUAGUUCAUUGUGCUAUUAUUUUUA